CCUACGGGAGGCAGCAGUCGGGAAUAUUGCGCAAUGGAGGAAACUCUGACGCAGUGACGCCGCGUGCAGGAAGAAGGUUUUCGGAUUGUAAACUGCUUUAGACAGGGAAGAAAGAAAUGACGGUACCUGUAGAAUAAGCUCCGGCUAACUACGUGCCAGCAGCCGCGGUAAUACGUAGGGAGCGAGCGUUGUCCGGAUUUACUGGGUGUAAAGGGUGCGUAGGCGGCCCUGCAAGUCAGAAGUGAAAUCCAUGGGCUUAACCCGUGAACUGCUUUUGAAACUGCAGGACUUGAGUGGAGUAGAGG
rnacentral:rRNA from 1 species